rnacentral:rRNA from 1 species
AGUGAACGCUGGCGGUAUGCCUAAUACAUGCAAGUCGAACGGCCACACGAUAAGAUCUUGCUCUUACGGGUGGCGAGUGGCGGAUGGGUGACACAUGGAUCACAAUCUUAUUUUUCGUGGGGGAUAUCGGGGGACAGCAUAUGCUACUACAUAAUAUGACCUACUGCUUAGUUCAAGGGUUCUUGGGAGCUUGGCCGUUUCAUUGAGACGAUGUCGGAUUAGCUAGUUGGGGAGGUAAAGGCACACCAAGGCGACGCUCCGUAGCUGGUCUGAGAGGAUGAUCGGCCACACUGGAACUGAGACACGGUCCAGACUCCUACGGGAGGCAGCAGUGGGGAAUAUUGGACAAUGGGCGCAAGCCUGAUCCAGCCAUACCGCGUGGGUGAAGAAGGCCUUCGGGUUGUAAAGCCCUUUUGUUGGGAAAGAAAAGCAGCAGGUGAAUACCCCGCUGUUCUGACGGUACCCAAAGAAUAAGCAACGGCUAACUUCGUG